rnacentral:rRNA from 1 species
CUUGACGUAGACCCGAAACCGGGCGACCUACCCAUGAGCAGGAUGAAGCGAAAGUAAAAUUUCGUGGAGGUCCGAACCCACGAGCGUUGAAAAGCUCGGGGAUGACUUGUGGGUAGCGGUGAAAUUCCAAUCGAGCCCGGAGAUAGCUGGUUCUCCCCGAAAUAGCUUUAGGGCUAGCCUCAAGGUGAGAGAUACGGAGGUAGAGCACUGAAUGUCCUAGGGGGUAUUGCACCUACCGAAGACUAUCAAACUCCGAAUGCCGUCAUCUUAUACUUGGGAGUCAGACUGUGGGUGAUAAGAUUCAUAGUCGAAAGGGCAACAGCCCAGAUCGUCAGCUAAGGUCCCUAAAUGUAAGUUAAGUGGUAAAGGAUGUGGGAUUGCACAGACAACCAGGAUGUUGGCUUAGAAGCAGCCACUCAUUCAAAGAGUGCGUAAUAGCUCACUGGUCGAGUGAUCCUGCGCCGAAGAUUUCCGGGGCUAAAACUUACUACCGAAGCUACGGCAUCAGUAAUGAUGGGUAGGGGAGCUUCCCAUACGGGUUGAAGCAUGACCGUAAGGACAUGUGGACAGUAUGGGAGUGAGAAUGUUGGCAUGAGUAGCGAGAUGUGGGUGAGAAUCCCACAGGCCGUAAACCCAAGGUUUCCAGGGGAAGGUUCGUCCGCCCUGGGUUAGUCGGGACCUAAGCUGAGGCCGAAAGGCGUAGGUGAUGGACAACAGGUUGAUAUUCCUGUACUACCGAUAACCGUUUGAGAGAAGGGAUGACACAGUAGGAUAAGCUAAGCACACUGUUGGUUAUGUGUGCCCAAGCAUUGAGGCAGUCAAAGUAGGCAAAUCCGCUUUGAUAAUGCUGGGAUGUGAUGGGGAGCGAAAUUUAGUAGCGAAGUAGCUGAUUUCACACUGUCAAGAAAAGUCUCUAUCGAGGUUAAAGGUACCCGUACCGCAAACCGACACAGGUGGGUGAGGAGAGUAUCCUAAGGCCAGCGAGAGAACUGUUGUUAAGGAACUCGGCAAAAUGACCCCGUAACUUAGGGAUAAGGGGUGCCACCAUCAGGUGGCCGCAGAGAAUAGGCCCAAGCGACUGUUUACCAAAAACAUAGGUUUCUGCUAAGUCGCAAGACGAUGUAUAGGAGCUGACGCCUGCCCGGUGCUGGAAGGUUAAGGGGAUCUGUUAGAGCAAUCGAAGCAGUGAACUUAAGCCCCAGUAAACGGCGGCCGUAACUAUAACGGUCCUAAGGUAGCGAAAUUCCUUGUCGGGUAAGUUCCGACCCGCACGAAAGGCGUAACGAUUUGGGCACUGUCUCAACAACAGACUCGGUGAAAUUGUAAUUCCGGUGAAGAUGCCGGAUACCUGCGACAGGACGGAAAGACCCCAUGGAGCUUUACUGUAGCUUGACAUUGGGUCUUGGUACUACAUGUACAGGAUAGGUGGGAGGCUUUGAAACCAGGACGCCAGUUUUGGCGGAGCCAUCCUUGGGAUACCACCCUUGUAGUACUGGGACUCUAACCAUAGGCCAUGAAUCUGGUCUUGGGACACUGUCAGGUGGGCAGUUUGACUGGGGCGGUCGCCUCCCAAAAGGUAACGGAGGCGCUCAAAGGUUCUCUCAGUACGGUCGGAAAUCGUACGUAGAGUGUAAAGGCAAAAGAGAGCUUGAUUGCAAGACAUACAGGUCGAGCAAGGAUGAAAAUCGGACUUAGUGAUCCGGUGGUUCUGCGUGGAAGGGCCAUCGCUCAACGGAUAAAAGCUACCCUGGGGAUAACAGGCUUAUCUCCCCCAAGAGUCCACAUCGACGGGGAGGUUUGGCACCUCGAUGUCGGCUCAUCACAUCCUGGGGCUGUAGUAGGUCCCAAGGGUUGGGCUGUUCGCCCAUUAAAGUGGUACGCGAGCUGGGUUCAGAACGUCGUGAGACAGUUCGGUCCCUAUCCGUCGCAGGCGUAGGAAAUUUGAGAAGACCUGUCCUUAGUACGAGAGGACCGGGAUGGACG